UCCUCAGAACAACUCUUCAAUGGAGCUACUAUUAUUACUCCCAUUUGAGAGAGAAGAAUAUUGAAGCAGAUCAGAGCAUGGGUGGUACCUAGAAGACUCUGGCCCUGUUCCCAGAGCUCUUUGCCCUCACAAAGUUGAAUCUGCACCUUCAGAAGUGUGACUUGCCUGCCCGAUGAGAUGUCAUUCCCUUGUGUAAGUUGGCCUUCUGGGAAAGUUAUAACACUUCCAGUCUGGUAAUGGGGAAGACACAAGGAAGGAAAGCCAUUUGUCUGGUACCGCCUCUCAUUUCUACUUUGUUCACUAUUAUCAAGCCAAGUCCCAGACUCAAUUAAGCAACCCUGAUUCCAAAAAUCUCUGCUCCUGGAGAAAUGCGUCAUGCAGCCCAUCAAGGGACAGAGGGAGAUGUGAACUAGAAGAAAAUAAAUGUUUGUUAAUUGCAGAAAGCACAAUUUAAUUAAAAAUAAAACUUUGUUCAUGGAUAAAUUGAUGCAAAAUGAAACUAAAAGAAUCAGGAGAUUGAUUUCCAUAAUGAUCAUAGUAAUGUAAAGAAAAAUUAAAGGCCAAUACUGCUAGA